UGUCACAGACUCAGUCUCACAGUGAGCACUGUGCUCUUCUCUCUGCUAAGCCAGCACCCAUUUCCAACACCCAGUGCUGCCUAGCUGGCAUGCUGCAAGUGCACACACUUGUCAGCUUUUGGUUGCAGGAGAAACACCAUGGCAGGACUUCAGGACAGAAAUAACCCUGCAUGAAGAUGUUUACAUCUGAAAAUGAAGAUCCUUAGCUGAAGUAGGACUUAAUUAACCAAAUUCUGAUUUUACCGGCCACAUUGCCCUGGAAGAGAUCUGCACAAGGAGCUGCUAUUUUGCUGUGUAUCAGAUACACCUCCAGGCAACCUGAAAUCCCAUUCCAAUCAAGGAGUUUUUGGCUGUAGAAUGUUCCCUCCCUCUCUACUUUGCCAGAAGAGAGAUGUGCUAGUCCACUGGGCAUACAGCUUAAUCUGCCUUUUCUUGAGGCUGAAGCUGAUAGCUGAAGUUGCAGGUUUGAAGAGCCAGAGGUACUGUCCUGUCCACAAGUGCAGCUGUCGGCACCCAGGAGUUCCUCUGCCCAUCAAGACAAACGGGGUGGGCAGGGGCACCAAGGACACUCAGGCAAAAGCUAAGACUGUGGGCUAUCUGUUGAAGUCAAUCUCACACCUCUCAUAAAGCAGACCCUGUAGAGAGGCUUUGCUGUCCCUUGCCUUCCCCAUAUCCCUGCUAGCCUUGACUACAGUAAUGCCGGGAAAAGGAAAGGGCAGAGAAGGUGUCUGGUGAGGCUGAAAAUGUACUGCUGAUUGCAACAAGCAGUUAGAGUAUGUAAAACAAAAACCCACAGGGCUAUGGGGUAUGGAAGUACAGUACAACAGUUGGUCAUACACACACCGUAUGGAGCAUAUCCAACAGGGUCACUUGAGGUAGGUUUGUCUGCAUCUGGAUCUGUGAGUCUCAGCUCAACAGAGCUGCCAAGGGCAAAUUAAUAGGCUGUCCAAACAAGGAGGGUACUGUUUCUUUAAGCUUUCCUCAAGAAGUGGAGAGCAAUGCAUCUUUUUGUUCUGAUGCCAAAGUUAUUCAGGAAAAUCACCCCGCUAUCAAGACUGUCACAUUUAAUUGAGCAGCACUUGGACUUUUUUUAAUGAUUUUCUUGUCUCUUGUCUGCAG